GACGAACGCUGGCGGCGUGCUUAACACAUGCAAGUCGAACGGAAAGGCCCUGCUAUUGUGGGGUGCUCGAGGGGCGAACGGGUGAGUAACACGUGAGUAACCUGCCCUUGACUUAGGGAUAACUUCAGGAAACUGGGGCUAAUACCGGAUAGCAGCUCCUGCUGCAUGGUGGGGGUGGGAAAGUUUCGUCGGUUGGGGAUGGACUCGCGGCUUAUCAGCUUGUUGGUGGGGUAGUGGCUUACCACGGCUUUGACGGGUAGCCGGCCUGAGCGGGUGACCGGCCACAUUGCGACUGUGAUACGGCACAGACUCGUACGGGGGGCAGCGGUGGCGAAUAUUCCACAAUGGGCGGAAGCCUGGUGCAGCAACGCCGCGUGCGGGAUGACGGCCUUCGGGUUGUAACCCGCUUUCGCCUGUGACGAAGCGUGGGUGACGGUAAUGGGUAAAGAAGCACCGGCUAACUACGUG
rnacentral:rRNA from 1 species